GACGAACGCUGGCGGCGUGCUUAACACAUGCAAGUCGAACGGAAAGGCCCUGCUUUUGUGGGGUGCUCGAGUGGCGAACGGGUGAGUAACACGUGAGUAACCUGCCCUUGACUUUGGGAUAACUUCAGGAAACUGGGGCUAAUACCGGAUAGGAGCUCCUGCUGCAUGGUGGGGGUUGGAAAGUUUCGGCGGUUGGGGAUGGACUCGCGGCUUAUCAGCUUGUUGGCGGGGUAGUGGCUUACCAAGGCUUUGACGGGUAGCCGGCCUGAGAGGGUGACCGGCCACAUUGGGACUGAGAUACGGCCCAGACUCCUACGGGAGGCAGCAGUGGGGAAUAUUGCACAAUGGGCGGAAGCCUGAUGCAGCAACGCCGCGUGCGGGAUGACGGCCUUCGGGUUGUAAACCGCUUUCGCCUGUGACGAAGCGUGAGUGACGGUAAUGGGUAAAGAAGCACCGGCUAACUACGUGCCAGCAGCCGCGGUGAUACGUAGGGUGCGAGCGUUGUCCGGAUUUAUUGGGCGUAAAGGGCUCGUAGGUGGUUGAUCGCGUCGGAAGUGUAAUCUUGGGGCUUAACCCUGAGCGUGCUUUCGAUACGGGUUGACUUGAGGAAGGUAGGGGAGAAUGGAAUUCCUGGUGGAGCGGUGGAAUGCGCAGAUAUCAGGGGGAACACCAGUGGCGAAGGCGGUUCUCUGGGCCUUUCCUGACGCUGAGGAGCGAAAGCGUGGGGAGCGAACAGGCUUAGAUACCCUGGUAGUCCACGCUGUAAACGGUGGGUACUAGGUGUGGGGUCCAUUCCACGGGUUCCGUGCCGUAGCUAACGCUUUAAGUACCCCGCCUGGGGAGUACGGCCGCAAGGCUAAAACUCAAAGGAAUUGACGGGGCCCCGCACAAGCGGCGGAGCAUGCGGAUUAAUUCGAUGCAACGCGUAGAACCUUACCUGGGUUUGACAUGGAUCGGGAGCGCUCAGAGAUGGGUGUGCCUCUUUUGGGGUCGGUUCACAGGUGGUGCAUGGCUGUCGUCAGCUCGUGUCGUGAGAUGUUGGGUUAAGUCCCGCAACGAGCGCAACCCUUGUUCACUGUUGCCAGCACGUUAUGGUGGGGACUCAGUGGAGACCGCCGGGGUCAACUCGGAGGAAGGUGGGGAUGACGUCAAGUCAUCAUGCCCCUUAUGUCCAGGGCUUCACGCAUGCUACAAUGGCUGGUACAGAGAGUGGCGAGCCUGUGAGGGUGAGCGAAUCUCGGAAAGCCGGUCUCAGUUCGGAUUGGGGUCUGCAACUCGACCUCAUGAAGUCGGAGUCGCUAGUAAUCGCAGAUCAGCAACGCUGCGGUGAAUACGUUCCCGGG
rnacentral:rRNA from 1 species